AUUGAACGCUGGCGGCGUGCUUAACACAUGCAAGUCGAGCGGUAGCAGGCGUAGCAAUACGUGCUGACGAGCGGCGAACGGGUGAGUAAUGAUUCGGAAUCUUCCUCGUAGUGGGGAAUAACCUGGGGAAACUCAGGCUAAUACCGCAUACGAACUACGGUUGAAAGCAGGGGAUCGCAAGACCUUGCGCUAUGAGAUGAGCCGAAUUCGGAUUAGCUAGUUGGUGGGGUAAAGGCCUACCAAGGCGACGAUCCGUAGCUGGUCUGAGAGGACGACCAGCCACACUGGGACUGAGACACGGCCCAGACUCCUACGGGUGGCAG
rnacentral:rRNA from 1 species